GGGUCUGUAGUAUAUUUAAUACAGUAAACUGCAACUUUACUAAAACCAAUAAGUCUGGCCCU
rnacentral:tRNA from 1 species